GCACCAAAAUUUAAUUGGGGACUCUGAAUUUCUUGAACAUCUUCAAGAAAUAAAAAAUCAAGAUCUUCAGGGACCCUUCGGCAUCACGAUCGUCGACCCAUAAAAGGCACUUCUUCUCCAACCGUCUUUUGUACGUCUCUGCAACGGCCAACAGCCUGCGAUAAACGUUAUUUCGCAAUGUUUUCAGAAAAAUUGGAAGGAGAUCCUCGCAGGAUUCCUCGGCACCUUCGGUCAUGAACUCCGCCUCGCCUUUUUCGACUCGUCUCCGACCACGCCACUUAACGGGAAUCCCGUUAUUCGCCAAAGAUCUCGUCUUGGAUCGUCACUUAUUCGAUGCCAUAAAUAUCCUGGGGCUCUUUGAACAUCUCAUGCACCCAGCCUCCCCAGCACUUUCCCAUAAGAAACUCUCAGCUGCAGCUGCACCUAUCCCUGGUGAAAUUUCCGGAACUUGUUAACGUGAGUGAAAAAUUCUCCGAUCGCAAAAACCUCUCAGAAGUAGGCCAGAAAGAAGCGGAGGAGCGAUCGGGCUCUUUUUCGCAUUCGUUCUCGAGUCCGAUAAGGAGCUAUGCAGUUGGGUGCAGCAAACUGCAGCAAGAUGCGUCGACGUUUAAUUAGGUGUAGAAUCGCGACACGGUCCGGUGAUCGCGGGAUCUUUCGCUCUUCUAUUUUCCUUUUCGCUUCCUCUCGCCCGUCCUCGAAGUCGAUCAGACUUUAACCUGAUUUCCUGCGACCCUCGGGGGAAAAAAAAAUGGCCGGAAUUUCUCCGCAGUUUCAAGGACGGGCGAAAUGUCUCGGAAAAAAAUAAAUAAAUAAUCCGCCGACUUGCCUUGACUUCGCUCGAAGAAACUAGAAUCGUCCGCAAAAUUCGGCGGCAAUGCAGUUGCAACUGUUGCAACUCCGAUGCAUUCUCCUCCGUCUCUGAAAUGAAGGAAAAUAAAUAUCAUAAUAAACAAGACACUGGGAAAAGAAUUGCAUCGAACCAGCGAAAUAUUUCUUUGGUUCGAUGAAUUUUUGUUCCCUCAGGGUAGAGAUAAUAUCCAUUUUUUUGGUUCGUAAAUAAUAUAUAAAUAAUUAGUUUCUAACGUUUUUAUAAAUAAUAAUUUAUGACGUUCAUUUUCUACUGCAGGGCCAAACUCAAAAGAAAUGCACUUCCCUUCUUUCUCGAUGCUUCC